GGCCCUACGGGGUGCAGCAGGCGCGAAAACUUUACAAUGCUGGCAACAGCGAUAAGGGAACCUCGAGUGCCAGGUUACAAAUCUGGCUGUCGAGAUGCCUAAAAAGCAUUUCAUAGCAAGGGCCGGGCAAGACCGGUGCCAGCCGCCGCGGUAACACCGGCGGCUCGAGUGGUAACCGUUAUUAUUGGGUCUAAAGGGUCUGUAGCCGGCCGGAUAAGUCUCUUGAGAAAUCUGGCAGCUUAACUGUCAGGCUUUCAGGAGAUACUGUCUGGCUCGAGGCCGGGAGAGGUGAGAGGUACUUCAGGGGUAGGGGUGAAAUCCUGUAAUCCUCGAGGGACCACCUGUGGCGAAGGCGCCUCACCAGAACGGACCUGACGGCAAGGGACGAAAGCUAGGGGCACGAACCGGAUUAGAUACCCGGGUAGUCCUAGCCGUAAACGAUACUCGCUAGGUGUCGGCCACGGUGCGACCGUUGUCGGUGCCGUAGGGAAGCCGUGAAGCGAGCCACCUGGGAAGUACGGCCGCAAGGCUGAAACUUAAAGGAAUUGGCGGGGGAGCACCACAACGGGUGGAGCUUGCGGUUUAAUUGGAUUCAACGCCGGAAAUCUU
rnacentral:rRNA from 1 species